AAAUUUAAAAAUCCGUUAAAUAACAGUGGUAAUGAUAAUGGUUAGACAAAAAACUUUUAAUUAUCCGCCAUUAAGUAACGUAAGGCAGUUAUUUAAAACCAUGGCAUGCUGAGACUCCAAAACUAUAAAUCUUUUCAUGUCUAAUAUUAAAUUCUUAAAUGUGAUUAAAAAAUGCAAAUCUGAUUCACAUACUGUUAUUUUCCAUAAAAAGAAAAAAAA
rnacentral:misc_RNA from 1 species